rnacentral:rRNA from 1 species
UGGGGAAUUUUGGACAAUGGGGGAAACCCUGAUCCAGCCAUCCCGCGUGUGCGAUGAAGGCCUUCGGGUUGUAAAGCACUUUUGGCAGGAAAGAAACGUCAUGGGUUAAUACCCCGUGAAACUGACGGUACCUGCAGAAUAAGCACCGGCUAACUACGUGCCAGCAGCCGCGGUAAUACGUAGGGUGCAAGCGUUAAUCGGAAUUACUGGGCGUAAAGCGUGCGCAGGCGGUUCGGAAAGAAAGAUGUGAAAUCCCAGAGCUCAACUUUGGAACUGCAUUUGUAACUACCGGGCUAGAGUGUGUCAGAGGGAGGUGGAAUUCCGCGUGUAGCAGUGAAAUGCGUAGAUAUGCGGAGGAACACCGAUGGAGAAGGCAGCCUCCUGGGAUAACACUGACGCUCAUGCACGAAAGCGUGGGGAGCAAACAGG